CAAACCCAUUUCUCUUGUUCUGUAUUUGUUGUUUCUUGUUUUGUGUGUGUAAUGUAUGUAUGUAUGUAAAAAAUGUAAUUAUAUGUUACGCCCGUUAUUGAGUUAACGGUUGUUUUGUAAAUAGGGAGAUUUUAUUUUGAAAAUCACUACAUCGCACUGACUCCUUGUGUGGCGUUGCCGGGGAAACCAAAAAACUGUUGGGAUAGAAAGGAAUUAACGGCAAACGAGAAAAGUAAGUUACAGGAGAAAAUUUUUUAAGACAGCAAAACAGAAACGACACAACAUCUAAAUUGAUUAUUGCAACCCCCCGAGGAGGCACAAGGUUGGUGUGUGUUGAUUUUUAAUUAUUUCUGAAUUAACUAAUUAUUUGUUAUACAUGUAUAUACACUUUAUAUGUAAACUCUUUGAUUGAAACGUAUUGUGAAUGUUAACCGUUUAUUGUGGACAGAGGUGGAAACGGAGAUGUGAUCGUUUUGUUUGUUUUUUGUUUGUUUGUCAGUUCUCACGUUGGUUCAUAGAGCUGGUUUAUGGAUCGGCAAUAAACCUUAAAACCAUCA